GGGAAUUUUAAUGUUGCACGGAACAUGGUUCACUUAAAAAUGGCAAAAGAAAAUGUUGAUUAUAAAAAACUUCAAACUGACUUAGAACAGCAAGAAUUAGAGUCAGCAGGAGGGGUGGCACCUGCCCAGGUGUAUAAUCAGCUGUUAGCUCUCUACCUACUUCAUAAUGACAUGUGCAAUGCCAAAUUUCUAUGGAAAAGGAUUCCACAGACAGUAAAAAGUUCAACCCCUGAAACAGUCCAGAUUUGGGCCGUAGGUCAGAAACUAUGGUUAAGGGACUACCCAGGAAUCUAUGAAGCUUUGAAAAAGGAGUGGUCAGAAAACAUAUCUCAAAUAAUGGAAGCAGUAAAAGGUAAUUGUAAACCCAAGGUGUGCUGCCUAAUUUACAUACCCUUACAAAUGCAAACACAUGUCCAUAUUAAUUCUAUUUCUUAUUGUAUGCAUAUGGCAUAGUAGUCAAAAGGGUUAAGUCAUAUCUGGAAGGUCACUGGUUGGAGCCCCACAACGAUCACUUGAUGUUGUGUCCUUAAACAAGGCACUUUAUCUGUAUUGUCUCGGCCCACCCAGCUGCAGUGGGUACCAACUUAUGCCAAGGGUUAACUGCCAUGGCUCCAUAGUUACCAGAGAUAAGCGCCAACUUCAUGAGCCUCAUGGUGCGGAGGAUUGAACUGACCUUGUGUGCUUGUAUCAAAAUGUGUGGCCAUUAGGGGUAUGUUUGGACUUCCCUAAAAUUGUGAGAACUCAUUCUUUUCUUCUUUUCAGCUGCCACGAGGGAAAGAGCGAAGACAUUAGUAUCCAAGGCCUAUAGUUCCAUUGAUGCUGAUGAUUUUGCUGUAUUUAUGGGAAUGCCUUUAAGUGAGGCGAUACAAGCUGCAACACAAGAAGGAUGGACAUAUGAUUCAGCAACUAAAUACAUCAAACCUACAAAACCAGUAAUGCUAAAAGAUCCAGAGUUAUUAAGUGAACAGCAGUUGUCAGUGCUAACAGACUAUGUGUCUUUUCUGGAGGCGUGACAAGGGGAAAGAAAGAGUCUGUGUAUUACAUCAUCAGUUGGUGCUUAACUUCACAAUGCAUGAAAACCGACUCAUUGGGAGAGGAUUAAACAGAGGCUGGAGAAUUCUAACCCUCCAAUACCAUCAGUAUAAAUUAUUAACCAGACAGUCAGAAUUCAAAAUAGUUUGGUGAAAUACUUUACUAGUACAUGUACAGUGUAUAUACCCAGUAUAUGUACUAAUGGUGUAUAUUUUAAAUAUUUGUAGUCAUCCCAUGCAGCCACCGAAAUGUUUUGCAAGGAAAUUACUUAAAACAAAAACAUGUGUAUGAACUGUUAAAUAUUUUACUGUUGAUUUUUGGUGUUUGAAAACCUGUCAAGUGUAUAUGUGCAUAAUGUAUCUGUGGGAAUCUUUAGUAAAUAAACACUGUGAUAACCAAUU
rnacentral:misc_RNA from 1 species